UACGGAGGGUGCGAGCGUUAAUCGGAAUUACUGGGCGUAAAGCGCGCGCAGGCGGUUUGUUAAGCUAGAUGUGAAAGCCCCGGGCUCAACCUGGGAUGGUCAUUUAGAGCUGGCAGACUAGAGUCUUGGAGAGGGGAGUGGAAUUCCAGGUGUAGCGGUGAAAUGCGUAGAUAUCUGGAGGAACAUCAGUGGCGAAGGCGACUCCCUGGCCAAAGACUGACGCUCAGGUGCGAAAGUGUGGGUAGCGAACAGG
rnacentral:rRNA from 1 species